rnacentral:lncRNA from 1 species
UGGAAAUCCUGUAGUACUUCAUCUCCCAGGGAGGGGAAGGACACUCAUCGUCUUGGCUGGCUGGGCUGUGUCUAGGCUCACCUCAUCUCUGCCUCCAGGUUCGGACCAUGCGGAUGCACCUGUUCACUGCCUUGCAGCUGCUCUGUCUGGCCCUGCUUUGGGCGGUCAUGUCCACAGCUGCUUCCCUGGCCUUCCCCUUCAUCCUCAUCCUCACAGUGCCUUUGCGCAUGGUGGUACUUACCCGGAUCUUCACUGAGCGAGAAAUGAAAUGUGUAAGCACCCCUCACUCUCUUCUCUCUCUCCUUCCAGUCCUCUCUCCCAUGAUUCCAUAAAAGCCAACCCUCCCUCCCUUUCUUCUCACAGCUGGAUGCUAAUGAGGCAGAGCCAGUGUUUGAUGAGUGUGAAGGUGUGGACGAGUACAACGAGAUGCCCAUGCCUGUGUAGCUGCUGUCCAGAGGCAUAGCAGAGGGACUAAGGGGCAGGGGCUGGGGGGCUGGGGAGCUGGGGCUCCCCUCCUCCUGUCCCUCCUCA